GAUGAACGCUGGCGGCGUGCCUAAUACAUGCAAGUCGAGCGAACAGACGAGGAGCUUGCUCCUCUGACGUUAGCGGCGGACGGGUGAGUAACACGUGGAUAACCUACCUAUAAGACUGGGAUAACUUCGGGAAACCGGAGCUAAUACCGGAUAAUAUAUUGAACCGCAUGGUUCAAUGGUGAAAGACGGUUUUGCUGUCACUUAUAGAUGGAUCCGCGCCGCAUUAGCUAGUUGGUAAGGUAACGGCUUACCAAGGCAACGAUGCGUAGCCGACCCGAGAGGGUGAUCGGCCACACUGGAACUGAGACACGGUCCAGACUCCUACGGGAGGCAGCAGUAGGGAAUCUUCCGCAAUGGGCGAAAGCCUGACGGAGCCACGCCGCGUGAGUGAUGAAGGUCUUCGGAUCGUAAAACUCUGUUAUUAGGGAAGAACAAAUGUGUAAGUAACUAUGCACGUCUUGACGGUACCUAAUCAGAAAGCCACGGCUAACUACGUG
rnacentral:rRNA from 1 species